rnacentral:rRNA from 1 species
GACGAACGCUGGCGGCGUGCUUAACACAUGCAAGUCGAACGAAAAGAGGGAAAGAGCUUGCUCUUUCCGGAAUUGAGUGGCAAACGGGUGAGUAACACGUAAACAACCUGCCUUCAGGAUGGGGACAACAGACGGAAACGACUGCUAAUACCGAAUAAGUUCCAAGAUCCGCAUGGCCCAUGUAAGAAAAGUUGGCCUCUACCUGUAAGCUAUCGCCUGAAGAGGGGUUUGCGUCUGAUUAGCUGGUUGGAGGGGUAACGGCCCACCAAGGCGACGAUCAGUAGCCGGUCUGAGAGGAUGAACGGCCAAACUGGAACUGAGACACGGGCCAGACUCCUAAGGGAGGCAGCAGUGGGGAAUCUUCCGAAAUGGGCGAAAGCCUGACGGAGCAACGCCGCGUGAGUGAUGACGGCCUUCGGGUUGUAAAACUCUGUGAUCCGGGACGAAAAGGCAGAGUGCGAAGAACAAACUGCAUUGACGGUACCGGAAAAGCAAGCCACGGCUAACUACGUG